UUACGGCCAUAUCACAAUGAAACACUAGUUCCUGUACGAUCACUGAAGUUAAGCAAAGCCUAGCCUGGCCCGUACUUAGAUGGAUGACCGCUUGGAAAUACUACGUAUGGUAA